rnacentral:RNase_P_RNA from 1 species
UGGAGCCGGCUGGUAGCUACGGGGAACUGGGGAAACACCGCCCUCCACACGGCACGGAGGCUCCGUAAGGAGCGCGGGGAGACCCGCGGCAACGGCACAGAAACGACACGGCCACCUCCAGAUGUCUAUGAGGUGGUGAGGGCACUCCGGUAACGGGGUGCCAGCAACCCGCUGAGUAUGGAGGUGGAUGCGUUGAAACGGCCGCCCCUCCGGGAGCAAGGCCAAGCAGCACCGAUGAGUUGCCGUGCGAGGUGCGGGUAGGCCGCAUAGUCUAAUGCUACCGCAGUACAGAAGGCGGGUUAUAGCCGGCACCA